rnacentral:rRNA from 1 species
GUGAACGCUGGCGGUAGGCCUAACACAUGCAAGUCGAACGGCAGCACAGUAAGAGCUUGCUCUUACGGGUGGCGAGUGGCGGACGGGUGAGGAAUACAUCGGAAUCUACUUUUUCGUGGGGGAUAACGUAGGGAAACUUACGCUAAUACCGCAUACGACCUACGGGUGAAAGCAGGGGAUCUUCGGACCUUGCGCGAUUGAAUGAGCCGAUGUCGGAUUAGCUAGUUGGCGGGGUAAAGGCCCACCAAGGCGACGAUCCGUAGCUGGUCUGAGAGGAUGAUCAGCCACACUGGAACUGAGACACGGCCCAGACUCCUACGGGAGGCAGCAGUGGGGAAUAUUGGACAAUGGGCGCAAGCCUGAUCCAGCCAUACCGCGUGGGUGAAGAAGGCCUUCGGGUUGUAAAGCCCUUUUGUUGGGAAAGAAAAGCAGCAGGUUAAUACCCCGCUGUUCUGACGGUACCCAAAGAAUAAGCACCGGCUAACUUCGUG